rnacentral:rRNA from 1 species
UACGUAGGGGUCGAGCGUUGUCCGGAGUUACUGGGCGUAAAGCGCGCGUAGGCGGCCAGAUAAGUCCGGUGUGAAAGUCAAAGGCUCAACCUUUGAAUGCCGCUGGAAACUGUCUGGCUUGAGUCCGGAAGGGGCGAGUGGAAUUCCUGGUGUAGCGGUGAAAUGCGCAGAUAUCAGGAGGAACACCGGUGGCGAAGGCGGGGUCUCUGGGCCGAUAUUGACGCUGGAGGAGCGAAAGCGUGGGGAGCGAACAGG